AGUACAGUCAUAUUCCUGUGUAUGCUCCCCCCAGGCUGUCCCCCAUCCCACGUGACCUCCAGGGACAAGCUGCGUUCUACGAGGCCAACUUGUCAGGACAAGCUGCUUUCUUUUCGGCGCAGGUGGCUGGAUAUGAUUCAAACUGUACGACUGACGAGCUAGACAUGGCGUUCGUCCUCGACGGAUCAGGGAGCGUUUCUACCAUUCCAUAUGCACAAUCCAAGAAAUUUAUAGCAGACGUUAUUGGACAUUUCAACGUGGGCUAUGAUUCCGUUCGUGUUGCCUUGGCUUCUUUCGGCACUGA